rfam:Scleropages formosus scaffold7482, whole genome shotgun sequence.
CCUGGUGGUGCUGUAGCAGCACAGAAUGGUUUGUGGGUUACACGGGGAUGCAGGCCGUGCUGUGCUGCGGCAGUUACGCCUGG